rnacentral:lncRNA from 1 species
AGUGUCUAAAUCAUAGAGUCUGUAUUAAGGUUGUGAAAAAUAUAAUUUUCUUUUAUUGGAUCGAUCAUGCAGGAGAUCGUCGUUUGGUGAUUGCGAUGAUCUUCUUUUUAUUGUUUCUGAGUUGUGUACGAGCAUGGUAGUAUAUUUUGUCACGAAAUCGCCAAAGGGGGAGAUUGUUAAGGAUUUUAUAGGUUGGCGGAUUUCGUAAAGUUGAAUGGAGUCUUGAAGAGUUGAUCGCGGAAGUUUUGAAGAAAAGAUUCAAAUAGAAGAACAAAGACUCAUUCGGAAAGCUCGGCACCUCAGGUAUGAAGAAUAGAUCAUUUGUGGUGAAGGUACUUAAUUGGAAUAAGUUUAGAAGGCUUAGAUUACUUUAAAACUCAUUUACUGAACUUUUCUGUGUUCUGGGACCGGUCCCAGAGUUGAAGAGACCGGUUCCCCUAAGGUCCUCACUGCGUGAAUAUUGAUGCAACCGGUCCCCUGAGAUGAGAGACCGGUUCCCGAACCUUCGUAUUUCUGUCGCGCAGCGAGGGACCGAUCUCUGGCUUGAGAGACCGGUUCCCGAACGUUGUGAUUUUUGGUAACGCAGCGAGGGACCGGUUCCUCACUUGAGAGACCGGUCUCUCACAGACCAGUCUCCUCGAGAGGACCGGUCCCUGAGGACGACACAAGUUUUUUAAAAAGGACUUUUUGCAAUCCUAGUCUACUUCUAAGUCUUCUAAACAUAUAAAUAAGCCAUGGGGUCAUCUUAAAGUUUAAGGCUUUGAAUUUCUACUCAUUCUAAACCCUAGAAACUUAUUUUUUCGUUCUUAUGGUUCUAUUUCAAUAACAAGUUUCUAAUAAUCAACGAUUGACUUGAUUCUUCAUUUUUACUCAUGAACUUAUACGAGAAUCAAGUAGAUGUUUGAUUAAAAGGUAGACCCUCAUCGCUUAUGGGAUUCUAAGGCUUAUUCACCACAAAUCUUCGAUUCUACAAGCUCCGGAAGGAGAUUCAGCGUGUGGAUCUCGCGUGAAGCCAAGGAUUCGGUGGACGCUUCGAGGAGUUGAGGCGUUGACGCUGCAAGGAGUUGCGGCGAGGUCGAUUGGAGGAUUCNAUAAACUUAGAAAAGAAGUUUUGAAGGCGCUAGUUGAGAAGUUCUGAGGUAAGUUGAAAUGCUUUAGGCGGUUGGAUAUUUUAGGAAUUGUUAGAGGGGGAAACCGCUAAAGCACUGUUUUAUAUGAUGGUACGAGCAUGUGUUGAGUCUUUGUUAUUUUUCUUCUAGUAGCGUUAGUGGUUUGCUGCUAGAGGACGUACUAGCUAGGUUAUUUUCUUUUAAUAUAAAAAGUGUUGGAAUUAUGUCUGAGAUACUAAAUCUGUGAUCCUCAGAACUUCAGAACUAAAGGACGUUUUGUUAAAUAGAUUCUUUAAUGUAGUUUUGUAAUCUAAGAAUAUGACAUUCCUGACUCUAAAAACUGUCACGUUGAUUUGAGAGACAACUACUACAAAUACACACAUUAAAUUAAUGUAUUCGUGAGCAGUUCAAAAUCCGAAGAACAAAGACUCAUUCGGAAAGCUCGGCACCUCAGGUAUGAAGAAUAGAUCAUUUGUGGUGAAGGUACUUAAUUGGAAUAAGUUCAGAAGCCCUAAAUUACUUUAAAACUCUUUUACUGAACUUUUCUGUGUUUUGAAACCGAUCCCAGA